CUAUGACGAUGGUUCUCCAUAUCGAGUACAGACACACUGUGUUCAGAUAGCACAGCAUCACUUCGUCCUUCAUAGCCCACUGAGUCCAGUAGGUAAACCAAGGAAAAGAUGGAUUAAUGCAGUGGAAAAAGACAGCAGGGAGAUCCUGAAAGUGUGAAACUGGAAAAGAGAAUCUGAAGACGGGCGAGUCUGGAGGCGUCAUUUAAAGGAGGUCGAGGCUUGACUUCGGGCUGUCGCGCCGUAGAAGAAGAUUAAAAGAAAGUUCACAGAAUACUGGUAUGUGUGGUCGGUACUGUCUCAGUUCCUGGUACCAUGUGGCUAGGUUCUUAUAUGUCACUUUCCUGGUGGCAUCAAAUACCAAGAUGCAGGCAUGAGCUUGGUGAUAGUAUGACGGGUGCAUGG